AGUCGAGCGAAGCACUUUGCUUAGAUUCUUCGGAUGAAGAGGAUUGUGACUGAGCGGCGGACGGGUGAGUAACGCGUGGGUAACCUGCCUCAUACAGGGGGAUAACAGUUAGAAAUGACUGCUAAUACCGCAUAAGACCACAGCACCGCAUGGUGCGGGGGUAAAAACUCCGGUGGUAUGAGAUGGACCCGCGUCUGAUUAGCUAGUUGGUAAGGUAACGGCUUACCAAGGCGACGAUCAGUAGCCGACCUGAGAGGGUGACCGGCCACAUUGGGACUGAGACACGGCCCAAACUCCUACGGGAGGCAGCAGUGGGGAAUAUUGCACAAUGGGGGAAACCCUGAUGCAGCGACGCCGCGUGAGCGAAGAAGUAUUUCGGUAUGUAAAGCUCUAUCAGCAGGGAAGAAAAUGACGGUACCUGACUAAGAAGCACCGGCUAAAUACGUGCCAGCAGCCGCGGUAAUACGUAUGGUGCAAGCGUUAUCCGGAUUUACUGGGUGUAAAGGGAGCGUAGACGGAUGGGCAAGUCUGAUGUGAAAACCCGGGGCUCAACCCCGGGACUGCAUUGGAAACUGUUAAUCUAGAGUGCUGGAGAGGUAAGUGGAAUUCCUAGUGUAGCGGUGAAAUGCGUAGAUAUUAGGAGGAACACCAGUGGCGAAGGCGGCUUACUGGACAGUAACUGACGUUGAGGCUCGAAAGCGUGGGGAGCAAACAGGAUUAGAUACCCUGGUAGUCCACGCCGUAAACGAUGACUACUAGGUGUCGGGUGGCAAAGCCAUUCGGUGCCGCAGCAAACGCAAUAAGUAGUCCACCUGGGGAGUACGUUCGCAAGAAUGAAACUCAAA
rnacentral:rRNA from 1 species